GAGAGAGAGAAUCUCAAGCAGGCUCCACACUGUCAGCACAGAGCCCAGUGCAGGGCUUGAUCUCAUGAACUGUGAGAUCACGACCCGGGCCAAAAUCAAGAGUUGGAUGCUUAAUGACUGGGCUACCCAAAUGCUGUAGCAGGAUUCUUUCUGACACUGAGGCUUUUCUUUCCAGGAAGUAACUUUAUUCCUGACAGCACCGCUCAGUUGGGUUCAUACCUGGAGAACUGAGCCCCGAACACCACGUGGUGUAGUUUUCUACCUAUUUUUUACUUCUUUGUCUCCCAUAUAUGGUAACACACAAACAUGUGGUCUGAUUAAGUGGUCAUGAGGGAUGUUGUCACGUAUGCCUACAGCCAGGACUGUCUCUUAUA